GAACUAAGUGUAUUUGUAUCAGAAAAUCUAUUUUGAUAUAUAAGAAUGUGUCGCAUAGCUGUGCAAGAGGCGAAUGCAAGCCCAUGUUGUGCCGCCUAGAGUGUGAUUUUGGUGCCAUGGCUGACCGAAAGGAGUGAGUGGGCGUGGUGGCCGUGGGUGUGGUACUUGAUGCAUGUAUGUUAUUGUUAAACCCAUUGAAAUUAGUUGUAGGUGAUAAGUUGUGCGUUUGAUUUCUGCAUGAAUUAUGUGUACUGAUGAUAAAUUAAUGAUAAUUUCAACUUAAUAUUUCAAGAAAAAAAAAACAGGCGGGAGUUAAAGCAUGUUUAAUUCCAGCCUCAUUUUUUUUCAUGGUGUACAAGCACAGACCAUGCAUUGACUGCUGCCUGGUACUGGUAUUAAAAUGAAUAGAUACAUGACUAUGUCUAUAUUCUGUUGUUUUGUGUCAUCAUAUCAAUAAGCUGUCUCAUCAAUUCACAUGAUGUACACAAUAAUGGGUCCCUGUUUUAUUAUGUUUACUAGGAGGGAGAUUAUUUUGUAAAUGUGAUUUUAAAUGUAGUAGAAAUUCAGAUAAUGUCAGAGACUUGCUUUUUAACUUUCCAAUAUAUUUAAUGUUAAUAUAUUCUAUAAUUCUAAGCAGUGGAGUACAUUUCUAGCUACUGUUGCAGCUCCAGCUGUCUGAUCUCGCAUUCUCGGAUCUGCAAACAAGUUUGAGACAUCAUGUCUGAUGAGGAAUGUGCACAGAGGUUGCCAUCAUCAUCACCGGUAUCUUCACCAUCUUCAAUCUUUGAAUGUGCACAGAGGUUGCCAUCAUCAUCACCGGUAUCUUCACCAGUAUCUUCAGUGACCGAAUGUGGACAGAACUCCCCAGAUUCCAUCCCAUCUUCCCCAACAAUUAUACCAACAACUCCCAAGGCACCAGCUUCUACUGCUCGAGGUUAUUCAUCUUUUUCUUCUCCCCCAGGAUCAGGUUGGGAGUCAGCUAGCUCUUCACAUUUGGAGGACGGAGGAAACUAUCUGUACUGGUACACGAAGGACAACACACUAAAGAGGAAGCGGGUGUCCCUGUCACCUGUUCCAAUAUAUGUAACAAUGGCAGCUGGUGAAGUAAAAAAACGGGACAUUGUUGAUAGACUGGCUAAAGGAUCAUGUGAUGACGUUGUGAAAUGGUUGCUUGGUGGACAGACAAAUGAAAAUGUUAGCAUCCUGAAACAGAAAGUGAAGAGGGUGAAUGUGAAAUACAAAAAACUUCUGAAAAGCCAGCACAGAAAAACAGGAAAGGAAGCAAUAGAUACAUUUUUAGAAGAGACUUUUAGAUAUGGGAUUGAACGACAACAACAAGAACAGGAGCCAGAGGCACACACAUCCACCCUCGAGGGUGAACUUCGUAGAUUACACACUCCAUCCACGCAUGAAAUUUUGGUGGAGACAGUUCAGAGUGACAUGAAAAGAAAAGAUGAGAGAAUACAAGAAUUAGAAGAACGAGUGAAGCAACUCAAUAUCGAGAUGGAAAAUAAAAAUAAAGAGAUGGAAAAUACAAAUAGAGAGCGAGAAACUCUAAUGAGGAGAAUACGUGCGAAAAACUUGCAACUGAAAAGAGAAAGGGGAAAGCACAAGUAUUAUAGAGAGAAAUGUUCUGAACUUGAAAAGACACAACCAGAGUAUACUGAGGAAGUUACUCAGCAGGAGUCGGCUGACACAGAAGAUAUAGAAGAUAUUAGGAAGGAAGUUAUUGAAAUGGAAUAUAGAAUUUAUGUUCUGCAGGAAGAGGUAACCUCUGAUACAGUAGAACUAUACGACGAAGACAAUAAAGAGUUUACCCCACAAACACAACGGUGUGUUCAAAGUUUAUUGACUGAAAAUGUUGGAAUAAAUCAUGUGGGAAACGUAAUCAGAGAAGUUCUGAAACUUGUGGACAAAAAACCAAACAGAGUGCCCAGUCAUUCAACGAUUCGAAAUAUGAACUUACAGCGGCUUGUAAUCGCACAGAAGCAAAUUGCUGAGGAGGACCUUAGAGCAGGGGACUUGGUCGUGGAGGAGGAGGAAGACUAAAGCCAUUAUAACAAGGGUGGAUUGCCAGAAGAGGGAUGAACGGAUACUGUUCUUGUCAUCUUGCCGAACGUAAAGGACCCAUUAACUUUUCAACGGAGGCAAGGAAACUGUGAAGGCUGUGAAAACACUGGUUGAAUUUUACAUUUGCAGUCAUGUCACUGAGUGUAAACAUGGAUACACCCCCUUAUCUGGUUCUAACCAUCUUCCAAGCAGAGGUGAGAGAGAUAGUCUACCAAAGAUGACACCAAUCUUCAAGACUUCAUCUACACGGAAUGUCUGGCGUGAAGGUCUUUGCUGAAGUAUGGUCAACAUAAGAAUGGAUUUGACACCAAACUCUUCAUAUCCACCCUUCAUCUUGUGUUAAUGAGGUUCCUAGUAUUCAUGAUAGAGAUAGUUUACAGGGAUAUUCUCUUGACACCAGUCAUUAUCUACAUUCUGUCUGGUCUUAGCCUUAUUUCAACUGGGCUUUUAAACAUUUUUCUGUUAUACAUGUAGAGUGUAGAUGAUGUUUGGUGUUAAGUGUAUGGCUAUGUGGAUUUAUAUUCCCAAGAAUGUCUAGAAUAUGAUUAAA
rnacentral:misc_RNA from 1 species